CCUUCACGGUUUCAGGGUCUUGUAC
rnacentral:miRNA from 1 species